GACGAACGCUGGCGGCGUGCUUAACACAUGCAAGUCGAACGGAAAGGCCCUGCUUUUGUGGGGUGCUCGAGUGGCGAACGGGUGAGUAACACGUGAGUAAACUGCCCUUGACUUUGGGAUAACUUCAGGAAACUGGGGCUAAUACAGGAUAGGAGAUCCUGAUGCAUGGUGGGGGUUGGAAAGUUUCGGCGGUUGGGGAUGGACUCGCGGCUUAUCAGCUUGUUGGUGGGGUAGUGGCUUACCAAGGCUUUGACGGGUAGCCGGCCUGAGAGGGUGACCGGCCACAUUGGGACUGAGAUACGGCCCAGACUCCUACGGGAGGCAGCAGUGGAGAAUAUUGCACAAUGGGCGGAAGCCUGAUGCAGCAACGCCGCGUGCGUGAUGACGUCCUUCGAGUUGUAAACCGCUUUCGCCUUUGACGAAGCGUGAUUGACGGUAAUGAGUAAAGAAGCACCGGCUAACUACGUG
rnacentral:rRNA from 1 species